rnacentral:rRNA from 1 species
ACACCAGUCGAUGCUGCUGGAGGACACUGCUAUCAGAUUUCGACAGCCAUGCAAGUUUGCUCACCGGCUUCGGUGGGCGGCGCACGGCUCAGUAACGCGUACUCAAUCUAACCUAGAGAGGGGCAUAACGUUGGGAAACUGACGCUAAUAUCACAUGGGCCAGGGACUCUGGAAUGGAAUCUUGGCCGAAAUCGCUGUGAAAAAUGCAUCACAGCGGCUCUAGGAUGGGAGUGCGUCGGAUCAGGCAGAUGGCGGGGUAACGGCCCACCAUACCUUUGACCCGUAGGGGCUGUGGAAGCAGAAGCCCCGAGAAGGGCACUGAGACAAGGGCCCUAGCGCUACGGCGUGCAGCAGGCGCGAAACCUCCACAAUGCGCGAAAGCGUGAUGGGGGGAGUCUGAGUGGCGCACUUCGGUGUGCCUUUUGCCAAGUCUAGUUAGCUUGGCGAAUAAGUGCUGGGUAAGACCGGUGGCAGCCGCCACGGUAAUACCGGCGGCACAAGUGGUGUCCGCGAUUAUUGGGCUUAAAGGGCCAGUAGCCUGUUGGAACCGUCCCAAGUGAAAUGUCAGCGCUCAACGUUGACUCGGGCUUGGGAUACCUUCCGACUAGGGAGUGGGAGAGGUCAGGGGUACUUAUGGGGUAGGGGUAAAAUCCUGUAAUCCUAUAAGGACCACCGGUGGCGAAGGCGCCUGACCAGAACACAUCCGACGGUGAGUGGCUAAGGCUAGGAGAACGAAUCGGAUUAGAUACCCGAGUAGCCCUAGCAGUAAAUUAUGCAGACUCAGGUGUUGCACCACUUUUUAGUGGCGCAGUACCGUAGGGAAACUGAUAAGUCUGCCGCCUGGGGAGUACGGCCGCAAGGUUGAAACUUAAAGCAAUUGGCGGGGGAGCACCACAAGGGGUGGAUGCUGCGGUUUAAUUGAAUUCAACGUCCGAAAUAUCACCUGGAGCGACGGCAGGAUGAAGGUCAGACUGAAGAUCUUGCCUAACGAGCCGAGAGGUGGUGCAUGGCGAUCGUCAGCUCGUGGUGUGAACUGUCCGGUUAAGUCCGGUAACGAGCGAGACCCUCAUGAACAGUUGCAACCGUCGAAGAGAUUCGGCGGGCACUCUGUUCGGACCGCCUCCGUUUAAGGAGGAGGAAGGAGAGGGCGACGGUACGUCAGUAUGCCCCGAAUCUCCAGGGCUACACGCGGCAUACAGAGGCUGCUACAAUGGGUUGCGACCCCGAAAGGGGAGGCUAAUCCCCCAAAAGCAGUCAAAGUCCGGAUUGAGGGCUGAAACUCGCCCUCAUGAAGCUGGAAUCCCUAGUAAUCGCGUAUCACUAUUGCGCGGUGAAUGUGUCCCCGCUCCUUGCACACACCGCCUGUCAAGUCACCCAAGCGAGGUUUUAGUGAGGCAGCGCCUACGGCGUUUUCGAACUAAUGCUUUGUGAGGGGGGCUAAGUCAUAACAAGGUAUCCGUAGGGGAACCUGCGGAUAGAUCACCUCGA